rnacentral:rRNA from 1 species
CCUACGGGCGGCAGCAGUGGGGGAUAUUGCACAAUGGGGGAAACCCUGAUGCAGCAACGCCGCGUGAAGGAAGAAGGUCUUCGGAUUGUAAACUUUUGUCCUCAGUGAAGAUAAUGACGGUAGCUGAGGAGGAAGCUCCGGCUAACUACGUGCCAGCAGCCGCGGUAAUACGUAGGGAGCGAGCGUUGUCCGGAUUUACUGGGUGUAAAGGGUGCGUAGGCGGACUGGCAAGUCAGUGGUGAAAACUAUGGGCUUAACCCAUAGACUGCCAUUGAAACUGUUGGUCUUGAGUGAAGUAGAGGUAGGCGGAAUUCCCGGUGUAGCGGUGAAAUGCGUAGAGAUCGGGAGGAACACCAGUGGCGAAGGCGGCCUACUGGGCUUUAACUGACGCUGAGGCACGAAAGUGUGGGUAGCAAACAGGAUUAGAUACCCUGGUAGUC